UUUGGCAAAAAGAUUUAUUGUAACACACUGCCUCAGAAAACAAUAUAUCAGCAUCAAUAAACUAAACAGUUUCAAAUUAUAAAGGAUUACCUGCUUCUGGUCCAUACAUGCAUUCUAUACUUAGAAUACGCUAACCUGAAUGUGAUCCUUUUACUGAAACAUUUGACAGCUGUAAAAACAGAUAUUGGAGGACCUGAAAAAACACCCAACAGAAGGUCACCUUAAUACAGAGCCAAGACUUGCUGUACAGACUGCUGCCUGGAUGCUGGCUAGGUUGCUCUGUGCUCCCCGCUCGCAGCUGACAUGCUACCCCACACAAGCCCAUUCCCACUGCUGCUGAGCCUCUCUUAACUGUCUGCCCUGCUGGGAGACAGUUUAUAGCUUCGUGCACAGGACUGGCUCGGACUGCCGCCUACCUGCACCCUGAGGCCUCCUGCCCUAGAACUGAGUAAGCCUCAGCUUUCAGCAGCAGCUUCCCCUGGCCGCUACAGCAUAAAGCUGCGUCUCUUUUAGUGGUUGCAGCCACAAGGCAAUAUACUGUCUAAGAUAAGCACAGCUGCUGUUGUGACCUCAUUUGCUGUCAUCAUCUUGCCUGACCAACCACUGCCAAAUGCAGCACCGAGUAGCUGAACGCCUACACCACCUGCUGGUCAAAGAUAGUUACUGCAUCUGAAGUAGAAAUCAGAGAAUACCCUUCUUGGAUUCUGAUGAAGAGGGAAGACACCAUAUUGGAGUGGAUAUUUCUUCAACAUAAACAGAAUAAAAAGUUAAAGACAUAUAUAGAAAAGAUUUCUGAUUUGUUUUUAAAGGGAAAAUUAAGACUUCGUCAACUGACUGGAAAAGAUAAAGCAGAAAUUAUGGUAACUUUAACUAAUGAAGAAAUUUCCUCCUUGUGGAAGGAUAAUGAAUAUUGGCAAAUGGCUCUUACUGACUUUUUGGGAAUGAUUAGCAACAACUAUCCCAAAACUGACAGAAUUAAAUU